AGCUCCAGUAGCGUAUAUUAAAGUUGUUGCAGUUAAAAAGCUCGUAGUUGGAUUUCUGGUAUGUCGAGCCUGACCCGGUUACUAUUUGUACUGUUGUGUAUGGGCCUCGGCUACCAUCCUUCCAGAGAACUCACUCUACCUUUCACUAGGCUGGAGUAGCUAUCUGGAACUUUUACUUUGAAAAAAUUAGAGUGUUCAAAGCAGGCUUGCGCUAUGAAUACAUUAGCAUGGAAUAAUAAUUUAGGACUUCGGUUCUAUUUUAUUGGUUUCUAGAACUGAAGUAAUGAUUGAUAGGGAUAGUUGGGGGUGCUAGUAUUCAGCGGCCAGAGGUGAAAUUCUUGGAUUCGCUGAAGACUAACUUAUGCGAAAGCAUUCACCAAGGAUGUCUUCUUUAAUCAAG
rnacentral:rRNA from 1 species